rnacentral:rRNA from 1 species
CCUACGGGUGGCAGCAGUGAGGAAUAUUGGUCAAUGGUCGGGAGACUGAACCAGCCAAGCCGCGUGAGGGAUGAAGGUACAGAGUAUCGUAAACCUCUUUUGUCAGGGAACAAAGGCUGGGACGUGUCCCCGGAUGAGUGUACCUGAACAAAAAGCAUCGGCUAACUCCGUGCCAGCAGCCGCGGUAAUAGGGAGGAUGCGAGGGUUAUCCGGAUUUAUUGGGUUAAAAGGGUGCGCAGGCGGUCUGUUAAGUCCGCGGUAAAAGCCCGGGGCCCAACCCCGGACCGCCGUUGAAACUGGCAGUCUCGAGUUGGAGAGAAGUAUGCGGAAUGCGCGGUGUAGCGGUGAAAUGCAUAGAUAUCGCGAAGAACUCCGAUUGCGAAGGCAGCAUGCCGGCUCCACACUGACGCUGAGGCACGAAAGCGUGGGUAUCGAACAGGAUUAGAUACCCGAGUAGUC